UACGUAGGGCGCAAGCGUUAUCCGGAAUUAUUGGGCGUAAAGAGCUCGUAGGCGGUUUGUCGCGUCUGCCGUGAAAGUCCGGGGCUCAACUCCGGAUCUGCGGUGGGUACGGGCAGACUAGAGUGAUGUAGGGGUGACUGGAAUUCCUGGUGUAGCGGUGGAAUGCGCAGAUAUCAGGAGGAACACCGAUGGCGAAGGCAGGUCACUGGGCCGCAACUGACGCUGAGGAGCGAAAGCGUGGGGAGCGAACAGG
rnacentral:rRNA from 1 species